AGUGAACGCUGGCGGUAGGCCUAACACAUGCAAGUCGAACGGCAGCACAGUAAGAGCUUGCUCUUACGGGCGGCGAGUGGCGGACGGGUGAGGAAUACAUCGGAAUCUACUUUUUCGUGGGGGAUAACGUAGGGAAACGUACGCGAAUACCGCAUACGACCUACGGGUGAAAGCAGGGGAUCUUCGGACCUUGCGCGAUUGAAUGAGCCGAUGUCGGAUUAGCUAGUUGGCGGGGUAAAGGCCCACCAAGGCGACGAUCCGUAGAUGGUCUGAGAGGAUGAUCAGCCACACUGGAACUGAGACACGGUCCGGACUCCUGCGAGAGGCAGCAGUCGGGAAUAUUGGACAAUGGGCGAAGGGCUGAUCCAGCCAUACCGCGUGAGUGAAGAAGGCCUUCGGGUUGUAAAGCCCUUUUGUUGGGAAAGAAAAGCAGCAGGUUAAUCCCCCGCUGUUCUGACGGUACCCAAAGAAUAAGCACCGGCUAACUUCGUG
rnacentral:rRNA from 1 species